CAUCUUUCUUGAUCAUGCCCUUGCCCUCUGUUUCUUUCUGAAAUAUCUGCAACUUCAGAAAUUUAGAAGAUUGAGAAAAAAAUGAAACAAUUUAGGACAAGGCUCUCAGAUAUCCCACAUCGAGAAAGAGGAAAAUGAGCUGUCAUCGAGUGCCUAUAAGUACCAAAGCAAACAGCAUUAUACAGUUACGCAGCCGUGCGGUGGGCACAGAGCGAACUAUUCUUUCGCCUUUUACUAAAGAAUACCGUGUGCUCGCCGCAGAUAGCGGCAUACGCUUAUUUUUGAAGGGUUCUCUUCUCUUUAGAAGAGCUCCAACAACUCUAGUUCUAAAUCUUGGAUGUGCAGCGCGUGAUUUUAGGACAUUGCCUGGUCAAGCUAAAACUUAUUUCCUUGUGUGCUUAAUGUACUGUUCGUGCGCAUGGCAGCACCGUUAAUUUAUAGUCAAAUGAGAACUUUUUGUAAUGAAUUCGUUAUAUCUCAACUGUACAAAGAAACAAAUUAAAUUUAAACAAUAGUGACGAAAAACUUAAGUGCUAACGAGAGCACAUGGUAAGCAGCAUAUGCAUGACAUUGUAGUUGCCGCACAAGUUUUUUGAGAUUGUCCUUUUGCUGUAAUUCUCCAUUGGUGCCGGUGAAAUACUUGUUUAUUGAAAAUACUCAAAUAGAUUAUAUAUUUCCCUCAGCCGAUUUUCUGCCUUUAUUAUCGAUAGAGAUUGUAUAUAUCGACGAGACACCUAUGACUUUGAUUAAUGACGAAGGGGCAGCUGCCGACUGUUUUGGAUGUAAUGUACUUUUUGGUGAAAUCAAUCUCCAUUGUAUCUAUGGUGAUUAGGACAAUAAACAUUAUUUAGGCAAAUGGCCUUU